rnacentral:ncRNA from 1 species
GUGUUGUAUGAAAGAAGGUUAGCACACCCUUGAUAAGGAUGGAAGAAGACCUAGUGCCCUAUACAACAUGCAUAUGUUUAAGACACUGCCACAUCAUGGCAUCUAACAAUGUUUAAC